GCGUCGGUGGUUUAGUGGUAGAAUACUCGCCUGCCACGCGGGUGACCCGGGUUCGAUUCCCGGCUGACACA
rnacentral:tRNA from 1 species